ACAAAGGGCACGCCGCUCGUAAAAAAAAAAAAAAAAAGGGCACGCUGCCGUCCGCCAUCGCAAGGUCAGCCGGUAGGGCACGCCGCCGUUCGCUCGUCGGCACCCCGGCGUCCCAAUCGUGCCCGCGUGCGCCGCCACCCCUGCUUCCCGCUCGUCGCCGUCCCGGCAUCCCGCUUGUCCCCACGUGCGCCGCCUUUUUGCCUCCGCCGGCGCCGCCACUGCUCCCUGCUCGUCGCCGCCGGUGGAGCAAGAGGAAGGGUGCUGCGAGGGACGAGCACAAGAAGCCGGCAGAGGAGGAGAACAAGAAUCCGGCGUGGGAGGAUGUGGAUCCGGCGAGAAAGCAGGUCCAAGAUUGAUGCGGGAGAGGUGCAGCAGCUGUAUGGUGCCACUGAGAAGAUACACCCUGGGGUUGAUGCACAGCCGGAAGGCGAGGACUGCGAUGACCACAAAAAGAAGGGGCAGGUCUUCUAUCCUUCAGACCGGCCAACAGAGCAGUUGUUCUACCAAGCAAGCAAAUGCAGUGAAGAAACCACCACCACCGGUUUUUCACAGCCGAAGCACAUACUCUCAGACGUGAACGCAGCGGCGACAGGAAUAGGAGAUGGCGACGAAGCAUUGUUCUGACAAGUAGCACAAUACCAGGUCAUUGCACUUUCGAUGAGCAGUGCAUUCAUGUAUCCGUGCAUACUUUUCUGGUUCAAGUACCCUGAAUGAGAGGAAUGAAUCUAAGAAGAGAAGCGAAAAUUUUGUUUCAGUAUGUGUUGGCAAAUGGUUUGGAAGUAGGCAGCAGGUCCCAAUCAAGCCAACGGGUUUUCUUCUGAAACUUUGAUGGCUUGAUUAAUUAUUAGGAAGAUGGAUGCCUCAGAAGAGGAGUUCAUGUGCAGAAGAAAGAAGCUGAGAAGAAGAGGUUUCAAGAAAAGAGCAACUCACAUGAGAAAUUCUGAAUCCUCAAGGUGAGUGUAUAGCAGCUAGUAUGCAAAGUUAUUCAUGGUGCUAUUGACAGGCACUUUCAGUUUUCUCUUUUGUUCCACGCUGAUGAUAUCAGCUUGUAAAAUCAAUACAGUACGGACUAAGCAGUACUGCAUAUUGACUCACAAUGAUACUACUCUACUUAUUAGUACUCAUCGCCAUUAA